UACAUAGGGGGCAAGCGUUAUCCGGAAUUAUUGGGCGUAAAGGGUGAGUAGGCGGUAAGUUAAGUUUAGGGUAUAAGCACAUUGCUCAACGAUGUGAGGCUCUAAAAACUGGCUAACUAGAGUUAGAUAGAGGCAAGUGGAAUUCCAUGUGUAGCGGUAAAAUGCGUAAAUAUAUGGAGGAACACCAGUGGCGAAGGCGGCUUGCUGGGUCUAUACUGACGCUGAGGCACGAAAGCGUGGGGAGCAAACAGG
rnacentral:rRNA from 1 species